rnacentral:rRNA from 1 species
GAUGAACGCUGGCGGCGUGCCUAAUACAUGCAAGUCGAGCGAACGGACGAGAAGCUUGCUUCUCUGAUGUUAGCGGCGGACGGGUGAGUAACACGUGGAUAACCUACCUAUAAGACUGGGAUAACUUCGGGAAACCGGAGCUAAUACCGGAUAAUAUUUUUAACCGCAUGGUUCAAAAGUGAAAGACGGUCUUGCUGUCACUUAUAGAUGGAUCCGCGCUGCAUUAGCUAGUUGGUAAGGUAACGGCUUACCAAGGCAACGAUGCAUAGCCGACCUGAGAGGGUGAUCGGCCACACUGGAACUGAGACACGGUCCAGACUCCUACGGGAGGCAGCAGUAGGGAAUCUUCCGCAAUGGGCGAAAGCCUGACGGAGCAACGCCGCGUGAGUGAUGAAGGUCUUCGGAUCGUAAAACUCUGUUAUUAGGGAAGAACAUAUGUGUAAGUAACUGUGCACAUCUUGACAGUACCUAAUCAGAAAGCCACGGCUAACUACGUG